UACAGAGGUCUCAAGCGUUGUUCGGAUUCAUUGGGCGUAAAGGGUGCGUAGGCGGCGCGGUAAGUCGGGUGUGAAAUCUUGGAGCUUAACUCCGAAACUGCAUUCGAUACUGCCGUGCUUGAGGACUGGAGAGGAGACUGGAAUUUACGGUGUAGCGGUGAAAUGCGUAGAUAUCGUAAGGAAGACCAGUGGCGAAGGCAGGUCUCUGGACAGUUCCUGACGCUGAGGCACGAAGGCCAGGGGAGCAAACGGG
rnacentral:rRNA from 1 species